rnacentral:rRNA from 1 species
GAUGAACGCUGGCGGCGUGCUUAACACAUGCAAGUCGAACGGUGAAGGCGGAGCUUGCUCUGCUGGAUCAGUGGCGAACGGGUGAGUAACACGUGAGCAAUCUGCCCCUGACUCUGGGAUAAGCGCUGGAAACGGCGUCUAAUACUGGAUACGAGCUGCGAAGGCAUCUUCAGCAGCUGGAAAGAAUUUCGGUCAGGGAUGAGCUCGCGGCCUAUCAGCUUGUUGGUGAGGUAAUGGCUCACCAAGGCGUCGACGGGUAGCCGGCCUGAGAGGGUGACCGGCCACACUGGGACUGAGACACGGCCCAGACUCCUACGGGAGGCAGCAGUGGGAAAUAUUGCACAAUGGGCGAAAGCCUGAUGCAGCAACGCCGCGUGAGGGACGACGGCCUUCGGGUUGUAAACCUCUUUUAGCAGGGAAGAAGCGAAAGUGACGGUACCUGCAGAAAAAGCGCCGGCUAACUACGUG